ACUGAACGCUGGCGGCAUGCUUUACACAUGCAAGUCGAACGGUAACAGGGUGCUUGCACCGCUGACGAGUGGCGAACGGGUGAGUAAUGCGUCGGAACGUGCCGAGUAGUGGGGGAUAACGCAGCGAAAGUUGUGCUAAUACCGCAUACGUACUGAGGUAGAAAGUGGGGGACCUUCGGGCCUCACGCUAUUCGAGCGGCCGACGUCUGAUUAGCUAGUAGGUGAGGUAAAGGCUCACCUAGGCGACGAUCAGUAGCGGGUCUGAGAGGAUGGUCCGCCACACUGGGACUGAGACACGGCCCAGACUCCUACGGGAGGCAGCAGUGGGGAAUUUUGGACAAUGGGCGAAAGCCUGAUCCAGCCAUGCCGCGUGUCUGAAGAAGGCCUUCGGGUUGUAAAGGACUUUUGUCGGGGAGGAAAUCCCCAGCGUUAAUACCGCUGGGGGAUGACAGUACCUGAAGAAUAAGCACCGGCUAACUACGUGCCAGCCGCCGCGGUAAAAC
rnacentral:rRNA from 1 species